rnacentral:lncRNA from 1 species
UGUCUUUAUACUGCAAUCUAAAAAAAACAUUUUCAAUUGUUGUUUAUUGUGUUAAUGUUAUUUAUUUGAUUUAAAUAUUGGGAAAAAUCCCCCUUUAAAAAGGCCUCAUAUCACACAGACGGAGAAAUAUAAAACACGAUGAAAUGUACAUCAUUACCACAAUCAAUGAUGAACGAAUUCGUUGCAGACUAAAAUAUCAACAAUAAACAUAAAACAUAAUGAUUUAUAGGUUGCAAACAAAAAAA